AUGGCUCCUGCAAAGAAGGGUGGCAAAAAGAAAAAGGGCAGUUCUGCCAUCAAUGAGGUGGUGACCCGAGAAUACACCAUCAGCAUUCACAAACACAUCCAUGGAGUGGACUUCAAGAAGUGUGCCCCUCGCACUCAAAGAGAUCCAGAAAUUUGCCGUGAAGGAGAUGGGAACUCCAGAUGUGCGCGUUGAUACCAGGCUCAACAAAGCUGUCUGGGCCAAAGGAAUAAGUAUAAGUAAUGUCCCAUACCGUAUCCAUGUGCAGUUUCCAGGAACGUAAUGAAGAUGAAGAUUCACCAAAUGAGCUCUAUACUUUGGUUACCUAUGUACACAUUACCACUUUCAAAAAUCUACAGUCAGUAUGGAUGAGAACUA
rnacentral:lncRNA from 1 species